GCUGGAAGAAGUUUCACUUUUGAAAGGAGAAAGAGGUAAAGAGCAGGUGCUAAGACCUGGCCUUGAUGCAUGCAAGGUGAAAGGCGCUGAGACGCUGGCAGACAUCGAUCCUGGCGUUUGAGAAGCGCUAAAAAAAUCACUGGAGAACUGUCAUGAGAAACUCUCGGUGGUGAAGGGCAUCUCCUGAGAAGGAGUCCCGUGCCACAGACUGCGUGUGACAGUCCUGCUCAGGUGUCUGUGAAUUUUACAGACGAGGAGGCUGAGCGGAGAGAGUAUGGAGAACUCAAUCAGGGUCUUACAGCUGGUUAGGGGUGAAUUCAGGCUCAGUCAGUCUGACUCCAGAGCCCAAACUUCUCACAGUUAGGUCACUCUGUGUUUGCUGGAAAUGUUUGUUUCUCUAUGAUGCCUUCUUCCACCUCACGAAGUCGAAUUGGCCAUUUCCUCUUCCGUUCCAGGCUGCCUGCUCGUGGACUUUAUACAGCUCUCCACCAAAGCCUUGCCCUGCUGAGUGAAUUUGUUCUUUGUUCAAGACGCCAAGAACCUGGACACCUUCAACUGGUAACAUAUUUUGGUGAACCAGCCAGAGUUGUGGUGCCUGAUCCCUACAUUUGGUGCAGCUCGGGCAAACUCUCAUUAGUUUCAGGCGACUUACACCUUCUUUUCUUAUGCGAAAUUCUUCCCUUUCCCAGUCCACUGGCUAAGGGCAGAGAAACCCGCCUAGCCUCCAGCUCCUAUCAUUAA
rnacentral:lncRNA from 1 species